UUGCCUCAAGACAGUUACUUAUGGUACUCGUUCAGCACCAUUCGCAGCAGCGAGAUGUCUGAAACAACUUGCGCUGGACUAUGCUCAUGUAUAUCCAAAAGCUGCCGAGGUACUCGAAACAGACUUUUAUAUGGAUAAUGCACUGACAGGACAUGAUGAUAAAGAACGGCUAUUGGAGAUCAAACAACAGCUUAUCAUCAUUUUAAGCAGCGCAGGCUUUGAGCUGCACAAAUGGACAUCUAACAUAGCCGACGACCAGAAUGAGGAUCAAGAGCCAGAUAUCACAAAGAUACUUGGGUUACGAUGGAAUCCGCGUACAGAUAUGUUUUCCUUUAGUAAUGAAAUCAUCAGCGGGAUAGCAGUCACAAAACGCAAUGUGUUAUCCGAAGUACAGAAGGUGUUCGAUCCUCUUGGUAGUCUUAGCCCAAUAAUCAUCCACGGAAAAAUCUUAAUGCAAGAUAUAUGGUCCGAAAAACUAGAUUGGGAUGAACCGCUACCACCCCUGUUAGCAGAUUAAUGGAACAGGUUCCUUGCCCAAAUGAACGAGCUCUCCAAAAUUAGCUUUCAACGCCACGUUAAG